rnacentral:rRNA from 1 species
UAGGGAAUAUUGGACAAUGGGCGCAAGCCUGAUCCAGCCAUGCCGCGUGAGUGAAGAAGGCCCUCGGGUUGUAAAGCUCUUUUGUCCGGAAAGAAAAGCAUCGGGUUAAUACCCCGGUGUUCUGACGGUACCGGAAGAAUAAGCACCGGCUAACUUCGUGCCAGCAGCCGCGGUAAUACGAAGGGUGCAAGCGUUACUCGGAAUUACUGGGCGUAAAGCGUGCGUAGGUGGUUCGUUAAGUCUGAUGUGAAAGCCCUGGGCUCAACCUGGGAAUGGCAUUGGAAACUGGCGGACUGGAGUGCGGUAGAGGGUAGCGGAAUUCCCGGUGUAGCAGUGAAAUGCGUAGAGAGCGGGAGGAACAUCCGUGGCGAAGGCGGCUACCUGGACCAGCACUGACACUGAGGCACGAAAGCGUGGGG